GCUAGAACAGUGCUUGGCACCUAUUCAGUGCAUGCAUAUUGAUGGAAUGAAGAAUCAAUAUUUAUCAUGUGCAAAGAGGAAAGAAUGGCCCUUUGUUCCUAAAGUCAUUAUUACCUGGCCUGGGGAGGAACAUGAAGAACAGAAACCUGGAGCCAAAUGACCAGCAGCCUGAGCACCAUGAUCAAGAGCAAGGUCACAGGAGAAUGAGACAGAUUUGCUUUGAAACCCAGCUGUGCCAGUUCAGCCUGGACAGGAAAAGAAUUUUGAAAGAGAGCUGGAAAAUGGAUUUAU